UAUAUUCAUGGUUAAGAAAAGGAAACAAGAAUGUCUACAAGAACUACAAGCAAAUAGCCCUUGGACUUGAAGACUCACGACUCACCAUACCACUUGGCGAGUUCCUCGUUGGCGGGGGACACAGCAGCUGCCUUUUUCUUAGAAGGUGGCGCUGCCUUCUUGGAGAAAAGAGCAACAGUCUUGAAGGUAGCAGAUGUAGAUGGUGAUGGAGCAGAUCUGGUAGCGCCUCUGAGGCUCACGGGGUUUCCAAGCAUUUCUGACAUAGCCACGGUGGAAGCCGCCAGA
rnacentral:lncRNA from 1 species